UGACAACGGCCUUCACGGAGCGAACUGGGGGACAGAGGGGAACACUUCAGUGCAUGAAAACUUUCUGGUGAGAUAUUCCAAGAGGGAAGGACUGUCACCAGCUGGAGAUGGAACAGUUCCCAUGCCUGACCUGCCACAUGUCAACAGGACAGGGAGCCACUCACCUUGCCUCCCAAAUUCAGCCAAUGGCCCGUUCAUCUCCUGAAAUAAGGAAUUAAAACAGCUUGUGAUCACUUGUAUUUUAAUGUUAAUAGUAACGUUAUUACUGUGUGUGCAGAAUAAAAGCAAUGCCAAUGCCCUCACCUGA